rnacentral:rRNA from 1 species
GCAAGUCGAGCGGUAACAUUUCAAUGCUUGCUUUUGAAGAGGACGAGCGGCGGACGGGUGAGCAAUGCCUAGGAAAUUGCCCUGAUGUGGGGGAUAACAAUUGGAAACGAUGGCUAAUACCGCAUGAUGCCUACGGGCCAAAGAUGGGGACCUUAGAGCCUCUCGCGUCAGGAUAUGCCUAGGUGGGAUUAGCUAGUUGGUGAGGUAAUGGCUCACCAAGGCGACGAUCCCUAGCUGGUCUGAGAGGAUGAUC